AUUGAACGCUGGCGGCAGGCCUAACACAUGCAAGUCGAGCGAGCGGCGGACGGGUGUGUAAUGCGGGGGAAGUGCCCAGUCGAGGGGGAUAACCGUUGGACACGACCGCUAAUACCGCAUACGAAUGGGUUGCCGAGGGGGGAGUAGCUAGUUGGUGAGGUAAUGGCUCACCAAGGCGACGAUCCCUAGCUGGUCUGAGAGGAUGAUCAGCCACACUGGAACUGAGACACGGUCCAGACUCCUACGGGAGGCAGCAGUGGGGAAUAUUGCACAAUGGGGGAAACCCUGAUGCAGCCAUGCCGCGUGUAUGAAGAAGGCCUUCGGGUUGUAAAGCACUUUCAGCGAGGAGGCGUUACUCGCAGAAGAAGCACCGGCUAACUCCGUGCCAGCAGCCGCGGUAAUAC
rnacentral:rRNA from 1 species